UACUUAGAGGUUUCAUGGCCCUUUUGUUCAAAGGAAGAAAGACCAAGAAUUGCACAAUUCUUAUUAAUUAGCAUCUUUUCUGCACAAGAUUCAUCUGGAGAGAGACGAACUGUGCAGGACUAUUUUGAUUCCUGCAUAGGAUGGCGCUGAUUCCUGCAGAGGAUGGCAUUGAUUCCUGCACAGGAUGGCAUUGAUUCCUGCACAGGAUGGCAUGGGAAAACUCAUCGGAUUUUUCUCAGACACUUUGUGGCAUCAUCCAUACACAACUUCAGAGAAGAUCUGUUCAAAGCAGCUGAUGGAUGAGUGACUGCCACGGGCAAAGAUUUCAUCCAGAUACAAAUUUUUGCCAACAGUUUGUCCAAUAAAUAUAUUUUUUGUCCACCA
rnacentral:lncRNA from 1 species